GUUACAGGCGUGAGCCACUGUGCCUGGCCCCAGGAAUCUAUUUUUAACAAGGCCUCCAAGUGACUCUUGGGUAAGCUAAAAUUAGAGAAGCAGUAGGCUACUAUGAAACGGAGCCUCUAGUUUUAGGAAGUGCUCAGCUCACACAAACGUGGGUAGCAUCGUUGCUCAGCGUCAUCUCUUUGGACUGCAAUCCCCUCCCAGUGAUCCUGGAUUUCUGGAUGCGGCUGUUUUCAAAGCGCAGGGUAUUUUCAGCAGGAUCUCACCAUAGUGGGCCCCACCAUGCCCAGGCUGAGAGCUCUGCCUGCUCUGUUAGUGAGGAGACAAGAAAACUCAUCAUCUAUAAAGUCAAAGGCGUUAGAUAACUUUCCCAAAGUCAUGCUGUGGGAGAAGAGAGGUGCAGGAUUCAGCCACUUGUCCAUGACCACAACGGCUCACCUGGACUCGGGCGUGGAACUGUCCACCGUACAGGAUCGUUACGGGUUCCUGGUGAGGAGACUCCCUUCUAAUGGAUAGGACCGUGCAGACGAUAAAGCCCACAGAAAGCGUCUCUUUCUACGCUCGGCCAGCCUGGGUUUUGUGGCGCCAGCAGCAGGCGCUGUGGUUCCCCGGCGUCCCUCCGGGGCCUCCCGCCGCGAUUUGCGGAGCGCACUUGUUCCCAGGUGUGCCAGCGCCCUGCGCAGCGGCCCAGCCAACCCAGGCUCAGACUCAGGUCUGCGCCGUUUCCUCGCCACGCUCCCCCGAGGGAAACGGUCCUGAUGCGUG
rnacentral:lncRNA from 10 species